UGGCUGCUUUUAUAUUGUUGCAGUGAGAGGGUCGGUGGAGAUGAACCAGAGAGGGAGAGGGUAGAGGGAGAGGGAGAGAGUAUCUCGAUCUUGACUGGAGCAUGGCGAUCGUCGGUGCGAUGUUUGUGAAGGGAGAUAGAUACCUCUUACGUUGGAUUCCUUUGGUGGGCGAAGAGAAUUUGUGGAGGUUUGGUUGAAUUAUUUCUUUCUUCGAAAGCUUUAUUUUGUUUGAAUCCAAGGUAUCUGGCUGAUUGAUUUCGGCUUAUCGGGGAGAAGAAAAGGGAAAGGGGGAUUUGGGCGGUGAAUCUCGUGGCUGUCUUCUCCAUUUUGUAGUCGUUUGCUCUCUUUUCAGUUUCUCCGCUCUUCUCUCCGGUUUCCUCCUUUGCUUUCUCUCUUUUUCAACUUUGGUGUUCUUUUUGUUAAAUAGGGUUGGCGUCUUCUCAAAGUUGUCGUCUUUGGGUUGCUUCCAAUGGGAAUCGCAGAGAUUUGGAUUUGAAUGUUCCCCUUUUUUACCUUCCUCUUACCAUCGCCAACAGUGAAAGCUCGCUGAAUCUUAGCUUAGAGGAUUUCUUUUCUUCAUUCCCUCCAUUCAUCUCAAACUCCCAUCUUGAUCGCCUCAAAAUUUGUUUUCGAAAGAAAGCUGGGAUCUUUACCCUUCGGUGGUUUAUAGGGCUUUGAUCUGAUUCAGAUAGCCGUCGAAAGGUUGUUGGAUGGAAAGGCUUGGACGAGCAGUAUAGAUGAAUCUCUCUCUAUGGAAACCCAUCUCCCAAUGCGCCGCCCUAAUUCUUGACAAGAAGAAUCGAUGGCGGGAUGGCGGUGGCGGCGGAGACAGCAAGGGCUUGUCGGAGGAAGGGUCCAAGCGGGGGUCCUCGAUGCUUUGGCAGCUGCAGGGAAACAAGCUCCGGGAGGCUCUCGAGGCGGCCUCCGAGGACGGCUCCCUUUUCAAGUCCCUGGACGCGGGGAUGGAUCCGGAGAUCUCAGGCAACACCGACAAAGGCUCCAUUAACCGGCCGAGAUCCCUCGCUCUCCUCAACGCCCAGCGGGAGUUCCUCCAGGCCACUGCUCUCACCGCCGAUCGCACAUUCACCUCUGCUGAUUUCAUUCUCACCCUGGCAGAGGCUUUAUCGGAGUUCCUUACCAUGUACCCCAAGUACCAGUCCUCCAACAAGAUCGAUGAGUUGAGACUUAAUGAGUAUUGCCACCUCGCGGACGCCUCCGCUAAGGUAUGCCUCGACUAUUGUGGCUUUGGUUUGUUCUCCUACAUUCAGAGCUUCCAAAGCUGGGAGUCUUCAGCAUUUAGCCUCUCUGAGAUUACUGCUAACUUGAUCAACCAUGCUCUGUACGGUGGGGGUGAGAAAGGAACUGUUGAGGAUGACAUCAAGACGCGAAUCAUGGACUACCUCAAUAUUCCCGAGAACGAGUAUAGUCUAGUUUUCACUUCCAGUAGAGGCUCAGCUUUCAAAUUACUCUCUGAGACUUAUCCUUUUCAUACCAACAAGAAGUUGUUGACAAUGUUUGAUCAUGAAAGCCAGUCUGUUAAUUGGAUGACCCAGAGUGCUAAGGAGAAGGGAGCCAAGGUGUAUAGUGCAACAUUUAAGUGGCCAACUCUCAAGAUAUGCACCACGGAGUUGAGGAAACAAAUCUCAUGCAAGAGGAAGAGGAGGAAAAAGGACUCGGCUGUAGGCCUUUUUGUCUUCCCAGUUCAGUCCAGAGUGACUGGAGCAAAGUACUCGUACCAGUGGAUGGCUUUGGCUCAGCAGAAUAAUUGGCAUGUGUUGCUUGAUGCUGGAUCUUUGGGUCCAAAGGACAUGGAUUCUCUCGGCCUUUCACUCUUCCGUCCGGAUUUCAUCAUCACUUCAUUUUAUCGAGUUUUUGGAUAUGAUCCUACAGGUUUUGGAUGCCUCCUGAUCAAGAAAUCUGUAAUAGGAACCUUGCAGAGCCAGAAUGGUGGCACUGGAUCAGGCAUGGUGAGGAUUGUUCCUGUGUUCCCUCAGUAUUUGAGUGACUCAGCGGAUGAUCUCGAUGUGCUGGAUGGGACUGAGGAUGAAAACAUUAAUGUUAAUGAUGAAUCUUUCACAUCUGAGACUCACAAAGGAUCCCAGUUACCUGCAUUUUCAGGUGCAUUUACAUCAGCUCAAGUGAGAGAUGUGUUUGAAAGUGAGAUGGAUCAGGAUAAUAACUCUGAUCAUGAUGGAGCUAGCACAAUGUUUGAGGAUACAGAGAGCAUUUCUGUUGGGGAGGUCAUGAAGAGCCCUGUUUUUAGUGAGGAUGAAUCAUCUGACAACUCCUUUUGGAUUGAUUUGGGUCAGAGUCCAUAUGGAUCUGACCAUUCAGGGCAAUUGAACAAAGCAAAGUUGGGUUCUCCAAUACCGCCUUCAUGGUUUACUGGAAAGAAGAAUCAUAAGCAAAAGGUCUCUUCUAAUAUGUCGAAAAGCCCUAUUUAUGAUGAUCAUGCUCUAUCCUUUGAUGCAGCAGUCCUCUCAGUUUCUCAGGCACAAGAUUGUGUAAAGCAUGGCUCACACAAGGGAUUGUCUGAAAAUAGCUUGGCACAUUCUCACUUCCAGAAAGUGUCUGAGAUAGAAGAAGAACCUAAAGUAAAAGAAGCAACGAGAAAGCAGUCUGUUAAGUUUUCUUCUUCCAAUGGUUAUGAGAAUGGUUCGACCUCAGAAAUAUGGCCCGAAGUUCACAAUGAACUGAAAGAGAGCGCCAUAAGAAGGGAAACGGAAGGUGAGUUUCGACUCUUAGGAAGGAGAGAAGGAAAUAAUAACAGGUUUGCAGGCGGAAAACUGGUAAGAGGGCAAGAGAAUGAAAGAGUCUCCAGCAUGGAUAGGAGGGUAUCCUUCAGCAUAGAGGAUAACAAAACUACUGAAUUUUCUUAUCACAAUUUUGAUGUUGGAGAAACUUCGGGCCACAGACUUGAUGAUGAAAGUGACCAUGAUGUUGGUGCCACUCUUGAGGAUAAUGAUGAUGAUGAUGAUGAUGCUCAAGAGUGGGGGAGAUUAGAACCUGAAAUUGUUUGUCGACAUCUAGAUCAUGUGAACUUGAUGGGUCUCAAUAAAACAACUCUAAGACAAAGAUAUUUGAUCAACUGGCUAGUGAUGUCGUUACUGCAGUUGAGGUUACCAGUUUCAGCUAUGGGCAAUGAUUUGCCUCUUGUCCAAAUCUAUGGUCCAAAGAUCAAAUAUGAAAGGGGUGCAGCUGUGGCCUUCAAUGUAAAGGAUGGCAAUGGGGCAGUGAUCAAACCUGAAAUUGUUCAAAAGCUUGCUGAGAACAGUGAUAUUUCAUUGGGCAUUGGCUUCCUUAGUCAUAUAAGCCUUAUGGACAAUCAGAGUUUUUUACCUGGAGAAGUUCUCUCCAAUACUUCCUCACAACAACAUCCCACAAACAAUCGACAAGACAGUAAGAACAACACUAAAAAUGCCAUGAUUAGAGUGGAGGUUCUUACUGCUUCACUUGGUUUCCUCACUAACUUUGAGGAUGUGUACAGAAUGUGGGCAUUUGUGGCCAAGUUUCUGAAUCCUGCAUUUUCUCAGACGGAUAGAUUAUCGACCAUUGAAGAGGCUUCAGAAACAUAGACAAACAUAGUUUCUGCAUGUUCUCCUGAUUGGCAAGAAAUCAGUAUGUAGCACCUCCGGUGUUAUUCAAGAAUUUCCUUAUCUGAAUGAACAGUGUAUUCUGCAGAUGCACCAGUAGAAGAAGAUGGGACUGUUGAGGGUUACAUGCACUGCACAUGGAGUAAACUCAUCAUUGAUAACAAUUUGGAGGAGGAUUUAUGUGCUAUUGAGCUGAUUGGAAUAAAAAAGGAUGGAAAGAUGAGAAUAUGCAUCGCCAGAUCAAAGAAUGUCGCUAUGUCAAAUGUGCAACUUGUUUGUGUGUUGUAGCUGAAGUUGGUGUACUUCGCCAGCCUACUAAUUUUUAUUGUUUCUUUUGCAAGUCUUGCAACCGGAUAUAUUUUUAAGAUUUUGUUUCGAUAGAGCAGUGUUUUUUUUAGCAAUUGGAGUGUUUUUAUUGGAAACAAGUCACACUGUCAAAGCUGGUUAUUCAGGAAUAAAUAGGAGUGUUUAAUUUCUGAAAAA